AUAUCAGAUGGCAAUAUGCUCUGCUCCUUUUCAUACAAUCUCCAGCUCCAAAUUGCUCAGAUGCAGCCCAUCUGGCCUCAGAGACUUGUUUGGGCUCCUAAAGAGAUCUCAGCCUACACAGAUCCUCUUCCACUGCUGGAAGCUCCUCUGCUCCUGAACUUUUUCUCAAGUGGAGCUCAGUCCUAAGUUUCCUGCUCAGUCAGCCCAGCCUCCUGAUGCGUUUACUUGACUCGGUGAGUACUGAGAUCCAACAAAGAUGCAGGGAAACAAAAGCAGGAUUUUAAGGACGUUUGGUAAGGAGCUUUCUAUGUCUAAAAUUGCAAAAUAUUUUUUUGGUAGAAGAAUAUACUCCUCAGCCUCUUUCUUGAAGUGUAAAAAUAAUUAUUUUUAGAGAUCAAUUAAAGACCAAGAUCCCACAAGAUAAGCUUCAGCAAACAAGGGUUCUUUUUCUAUUCUAUCAAAUAUUGCUGAAUCUCCUUAAUUUUGCAAUAUGUUUCCAAAAGCCAACAGCUGAGAUGUUAGCAAACGAUGAGAUGGCAAUAACUUUAACAAACAGAGGCAGACAACAGGCUGAAGAAUGGCAAUCCCUACACAUACUUUUAAUAUCAAUGAAACCUGAAAACAAUAAGGAUCUUCAUUCUGUUUUUCAGUUAGAAGGUUUAUGUGGACACUUUUUGAAGCCCAUCAUUCAGUUAUCCAUUAAGCUGUACUAUGUAGAGUUGUCAGACAAAGCAUGCAAUGACUAAACUAUUAAAAAAAAACAGAUGUUAAUGUCUCUUGACAAGGAAAUAUUUUCUUAUUACAAAAUUAUGAGAUGCCUUUAGGGCUGUUAGGAUGAUAUAAACAACAUCCGUCAAACUUGAUUCCUUUUUCAUCUUAGGAGGAGCUACACGGGUUGCUCUCCCUUCUGUUGAGCAUCUCUAGAAUUGCUGUAUGUUAUUUCUUGAUUUACAAUAGGGCAAGAAUAUACAAUUGCAAUAGAAAAAAACACAUCAUGCAGGGAUUCAGG
ensembl:lncRNA